UCCCUUCCUCCAACUCAGCUUGUUAGAGGCAGUGAAGCAGCUCAUGCUACUGCAUCAACAGUGUCUUGGGUGUGGGCCUGGUGGAGACUUCUAAGUCCCUGUGGUGCAAGAGCAGAGGGCGGAAGGGGUCCUACUAGGAGAAACCUGACGGCACCAGCCCCUCUUUUGAGGAUAUCCUGCAUCAGUGAUGGGAAGGGAAAUGCGGUUAAUGAGGAAUUCUGUUUAUUUGGCUCUUGGACACACACAAGAAUAUGGUAGGUGCUGAGUUCUGCAGAAUCAAAAAUGAUGUGAGCAGGUGAGACAUGCCAUCAAGUCCCCAGUGCGGCAGAUGUGCACGGAGACCGGGUAACUGCAGGUGGAAUGGAAGAGACAGAGUCUAAUCAAUGCACUCCGGUCUAGACCUGGCGCCCCUCUUUUCGCUUGCACACCCCAGACGCAUCACACAGCAUGCUUCCAUCUCACCAAGUCUGUGGAAAGAGUCGCUGCACAGGAUGGUCUAAAAAAUGUGUCUUUCUCCCAAACUGGUCAAAUGCCUUGCUUUGUGGAUAAAACCCGCUGCUGGAGCAUGCUGGCCUUUCUGGA